GGGCCAGGUCGAGUUCCCGGGCCGGUGCCCACCAACGCCCAUCAUACGCGACUUCGACUGGUACAGGUAUAUGGGAAGAUGGAAUGACGUCUUUCGCUACUUUGUAUUUUAUCAAACAAUCGGCAAGUGCUGGAGUGGUACUUACAGCAUGCGCAAAAGUGGUCAGGUACAGGUCACCUUGCGUUUGCGAGAUAAGCUGCUCAGCAAGCCGCUCAAGAUCACCGUGAAUGUGAACCAGCAGAGUCCGUACACGCCCAACAAGCUGUUCUACACGAUCCCGGGAGUGCCGCU